AAAUUUUCACCUCUGGUUCGGUUAGGGACUGAAAAGGGAGCUUUUGUGGUGAGAUGGGCUAUUCGUUUGCUCUAUUUGAUGCUUCUUGUUCUUGGUUUAACCAAGAUUUUGCCAGUAACUUGCACAUUGUUGUGUUUUCUGACACUACCAGUAGGGAAUUUAGUGUCAAGCUAUGUCGAAAAGCACCACAAGGAGAAUGAGAAGAUAUUCAUGGCCAAGUAUUAUUGUGUGAGACUCCACGCUUUGUUUGGAGCCGCGUUGUCGUUGGGACUCGUUAUCGCUCGCUAAGAUUUCACUUCUUUCGUUUGUCUUUUGGCCUUGUUGCAUCUCAAAUUGUUUACUUCAUUUUUAUGCUAAAAUCAAACUGUUAGAAAGAUAUUCGUUAAUUAACACAUUAACACACCUGGUAUGUUUAUUUU